GAUGAACGCUGGCGGCGUGCCUAAUACAUGCAAGUAGAACGCUGAAGGCAGAGCUUGCUCUUCUGGAUGAGUUGCGAACGGGUGAGUAACGCGUAGGUAACCUGCCUGGUAGCGGGGGAUAACUAUUGGAAACGAUAGCUAAUACCGCAUGACAACAGUUAUUGCAUGAUAACUGUUUAAAAGGGGCAACUGCUCCACUACCAGAUGAACCUGCGUUGUAUUAGCAAGUUGGUGAGGUAACGGCUCACCAAGGCGACGAUACAUAGCCGACCUGAGAGGGGGAGCGGCCACACCGGGACUGGGACACGGCCCAGACUCCUACGGGAGGCAGCAGUAGGGAAGCUGAGGCAAUGGACGGAAGUCUGACCGAGCAACGCCGAGGGAGUGAAGAAGGUGUUCGGAUCGUAAAGCGCUGUUGUAAGAGAAGAACGAGUGUGGGAGUUGAAAGUUCACACUGUGACGGUAUCUUACCAGAAAGAGACGGCUAACUACGUG
rnacentral:rRNA from 1 species